rnacentral:rRNA from 1 species
AACUAGUACCGUGAGGGAAAGGUGAAAAGCACCCCGACAAGGGGAGUGAAAGAGUACCUGAAACCGAUUGCCUACAAACAGUGGGAGCCCGUCCUUCAAAUCGCUUGACGAUUUGAAGAACUUUUGAUUUUGCCAUCAAGAGCGCAAGCGCUUUGAUGGGCGGGUGACCACGUACCUUUUGUAUAAUGGGUCAGCGACUUAGUGUGACGAGCAAGCUUAAACCGAUAGGUGUAGGCGCAGCGAAAGCGAGUCUGAACAGGGCGUUCAGUUCGUCGCAUUAGACCCGAAACCGAGUGAUCUAGCCAUGAGCAGGCUGAAGGUAAGGUAACACUUACUGGAGGGCCGAACCCAUAACUGUUGCAAUAGUUCGGGAUGACUUGUGGCUAGGGGUGAAAGGCCAAUCAAACUCGGAAAUAGCUGGUUCUCCGCGAAAUCUAUUUAGGUAGAGCGUCGACCGAAUACCCCAGGGGGUAGAGCACUGGAUGGGCUAGGGGUCCUCACCGGAUUACCAAACCUAACCAAACUCCGAAUACCUGGGAGUACUAGUCGGCAGACACACGGCGGGUGCUAACGUCCGUCGUGAAAAGGGAAACAACCCUGACCUACAGCUAAGGUCCCCAAGUUAUGGCUAAGUGGGAAAGGAUGUGAGGAUCCCAAAACAACCAGGAUGUUGGCUUAGAAGCAGCCAUCAUUUAAAGAAAGCGUAACAGCUCACUGGUCUAAAUAAGGGUCUUUGCGCCGAAAAUGUAACGGGGCUAAAGCCAUACACCGAAGCUUAGGGUUCGUGAGCAAUCACGAGCGGUAGCGGAGCGUUCUGUAAGCCAGUGAAGCCGUACCCGUGAGGGGCGGUGGAGGUAUCAGAAGUGCGAAUGCUGACAUGAGUAACGUAAGGGGAGUGAGAGACUCCCCCGCCGAAAGACCAAGGGUUCCUGCUUAAAGUUAAUCUGAGCAGGGUUAGCCGGCCCCUAAGACGAGGCGGAAACGCGUAGUCGAUGGGAAUCACGUUAAUAUUCGUGAGCCUGGAGGUAGUGACGGAUCACACAAGUUGUCCAAUCUUAUCGGAUUGAAAGGGCAGCGGAGUGGUUCCAGGAAAUAGCUCCUCCUUAUAGACCGUACCCGAAACCGACACUGGUGGUCUGGUAGAGUAUACCAAGGCGCUUGAGAGAACUAUGCUGAAGGAACUCGGCAAAUUGCACGCGUAACUUCGGAAGAAGCGUGACCCUUUUUUGCGCAAGCAGAGGAGGGUGGCACAGACCAGGGGGUAGCGACUGUUUAUCAAAAACACAGGGCUCUGCGAAGUCGCAAGACGACGUAUAGGGUCUGACGCCUGCCCGGUGCUGGAAGGUUAAGAGGAGGGGUGCAAGCUCUGAAUCGAAGCCCCAGUAAACGGCGGCCGUAACUAUAACGGUCCUAAGGUAGCGAAAUUCCUUGUCGGGUAAGUUCCGACCUGCACGAAUGGCGUAACGACUUCCCCGCUGUCUCCAGCAUAGACUCAGUGAAAUUGAAUUCCCCGUGAAGAUGCGGGGUUCCUGCGGUUAGACGGAAAGACCCCGUGCACCUUUACUAUAGCUUUACAUUGGCAUUCGUAGUGGCAUGUGUAGGAUAGGUGGUAGGCUUUGAAGCCUGGGCGCCAGCUCAGGUGGAGCCACCCUUGAAAUACCACCCUUAUCACUAUGGAUGUCUAACCGCGGCCCGUUAUCCGGGUCCGGGACAAUGUAUGGUGGGUAGUUUGACUGGGGCGGUCGCCUCCUAAAGAGUAACGGAGGCGCGCGAUGGUGGGCUCAGAACGGUCGGAAAUCGUUCGCUGAGUGCAAUGGCAUAAGCCUGCCUGACUGCGAGACUGACAAGUCGAGCAGAGACGAAAGUCGGUCAUAGUGAUCCGGUGGUCCCGUGUGGAAGGGCCAUCGCUCAACGGAUAAAAGGUACGCCGGGGAUAACAGGCUGAUGACCCCCAAGAGUCCAUAUCGACGGGGUUGUUUGGCACCUCGAUGUCGACUCAUCGCAUCCUGGGGCUGGAGCAGGUCCCAAGGGUAUGGCUGUUCGCCAUUUAAAGCGGUACGUGAGUUGGGUUCAGAACGUCGUGAGACAGUUCGGUCCCUAUCUGCCGUGGGUGUAGGAAUAUUGAAAGGAUCUGUCCCUAGUACGAGAGGACCGGGAUGGACGGAUCUCUGGUGGACCUGUUGUGGCGCCAGCCGCAUUGCAGGGUAGCUAUAUCCGGACGGGAUAACCGCUGAAGGCAUCUAAGCGGGAAACCCACCUUGAAACGAGUAUUCCCUGAGAACCGUGGAAGACGACCACGUUGAUAGGCCGGGUGUGGAAGAGCGGCAACGCUUGAAGCUUACCGGUACUAAUAGUUCGAUCGGCUUGAUCGUUCUCAUU